UGGUCCCAGGCCCCCCGGACCCCGAUCGCCUAAAAUUUUUUCGGGCCAUCAAAUACGACCUAAGGAACCAUAGUCACCACCUCGCCAUGAUCGUUCCUCAUUAUUUGCAUUUUUCAGCCAAAAACCUAGAAUUCCACCCGAUUCCCAUAUUUGCUUGUGCUAUAGCCCAUGCCUUCCGAGUGGGCCGGGCCCCCGGACUCGGAUCACCUAAAAUUGUUUUGGGCCAUCAAAUAAGACCUAAGGAACCAUAGUCACCUUCCCUCCAUGAUUGUUUCUCAUUGUUUGCAUUUUUCGGCCAAAAACUAGAAUUUCGCCCGAUUCCCAUAUUUUCGUGUGCUAUAUCCACGCCUUCUAAGUGGUCCCGAAAACCCCGGACCUCGAUCGCCUAAAAUUUUUCCGGGCCAUCAAAUACCUCCUAAGGAACCAUAGUCACUGCCUCGCCAUGAUCGUUACUCAUUAUUUGCGUUUUUCGGCCAAAAAACUAGAAUUUCGCCCGAUUACCAUAUUUUUGUGCGCUCUUGCUCACGCCUUCCGAGUGGGCUGGGCCCCCGGACUCAGAUCACCUAAUAUUUUUUUGGGCCAUCAAAUAGUACCUAAGGAACCAUAGUCACCGCCUCGCCAUUAUCGUUCCUCAUGUUUUGCAUUUUUUGGCCAAAAAAUUAGAAUUCCGCCCGAUUCCCAUAUUUUUGUGUGCUAUAGUCCACGCCUUCCAAGUGGUCCCGGGACUCCCGGUCCCCGAUCGCCUAAAAUUUUUCCGGGACAUCAAAUAUGACCUAAGGAACCAUAGUAACCGCCCCGCCAUGAUCGUUCCUCAUUGUUUGCGUUUUUCGGCCAAACAACUAGAAUUCCGCGCGAUUUCCAUAUUUUCGUGUCCUUCCAAGUGGUCCUGGGACCCCCGGACCCCUAUCGCCUAAAAUCUUUCCGGACCAUCAAAUACGACCUAAGGAACCAUAGUCACCGCCCCGCCAUGAUCGUUCCUAGUUUUUUGCAUUUUUUGGCCAAAAAACUAGAUUUUCGCGCGAUUCCCAUAUUUUCGUGUGCUAAUAUUUUACAUCCCAGAGGGGCUAUAAUUGGAGAUACCAUUUUUUCUGGUACAAAAUUUCCUAUAAAAAUGGGAAAUGCCCUACCUUUGAGUGCGGUUUGAACUAUUGAUUUACGUAAUUGGAAAUAACCAAUUAGGUUUACGACGAAACCUAGAAAUCGAUCACUGAUCCAAUUUGAGUACCUCUGCAGGAUAGACCUCAACGAAAACUGAAGAGUAACGGCAGCAAGUGAUUGAGUUCAGUAGUUCCUCAUAUAAAAUUAUUGACUCUAGAGAUAUAGU
rnacentral:lncRNA from 1 species